CACGUAGGGGGCAAGCGUUGUCCGGAAUUACUGGGCGUAAAGAGCGCGUAGGUGGAUAUUUAAGUCAGGUGUGAAAGGCCAGGGCCUAACCCUGGGAUUGCACUUGAAACUGAAUAGCUUGAGGGCAGGAGAGGUAAGUGGAAUUCCCAGUGUAGCGGUGAAAUGCGUAGAUAUUGGGAGGAACACCAGUGGCGAAAGCGACUUACUGGCCUGGUUCUGACACUGAGGCGCAAAAGCGUGGGGAGCGAAC
rnacentral:rRNA from 1 species